rnacentral:ncRNA from 1 species
AAUAACAGCUAGGGGAGCAAUUUGCUGAGACCUUUAUCGGAACCCUUUGAACCUGAGAGUUAGCACUCGCGUAGGAAAGCCGUUAUUAACGUGA